rnacentral:rRNA from 1 species
UCGGGAAUUUUGGGCAAUGGGCGGAAGCCUGACCCAGCAACGCCGCGUGAAGGAUGAAGUAUUUCGGUAUGUAAACUUCGAAAGAAUAGGAAGAAUAAAUGACGGUACUAUUUAUAAGGUCCGGCUAACUACGUGCCAGCAGCCGCGGUAAUACGUAGGGACCAAGCGUUGUUCGGAUUUACUGGGCGUAAAGGGCGCGUAGGCGGCAUGACAAGUCACUUGUGAAAUCUCUGGGCUUAACCCAGAACGGCCAAGUGAUACUGUCGCGCUAGAGUGCAGAAGGGGCAAUCGGAAUUCUUGGUGUAGCGGUGAAAUGCGUAGAUAUCAAGAGGAACACCUGAGGUGAAGACGGGUUGCUGGGCUGACACUGACGCUGAGGCGCGAAAGCCAGGGGAGCAAACGGGAUUAGAUACCCCAGUAGUCCCUGAGCGGGCUGG